UACGGGGGGGGCAAGCGUUGUUCGGAAUUACUGGGCGUAAAGGGCUCGUAGGUGGCCAACUAAGUCAGACGUGAAAUCCCUCGGCUUAACCGGGGAACUGCGUCUGAUACUGGAUGGCUUGAGAUUGGGAGAGGGAUGCGGAAUUCCAGGUGUAGCGGUGAAAUGCGUAGAUAUCUGGAGGAACACCGGUGGCGAAGGCGGCAUCCUGGACCAACACUGACGCUGAGGCGGCGAAAAGCGGUGGGGAGCAAACAGG
rnacentral:rRNA from 1 species